GACGAACGCUGGCGGCGUGCCUAAUACAUGCAAGUCGAACGAGAGCGACCGGUGCUUGCACUGGUCAAUCUAGCGGCGAACGGGUGAGUAACACGUGGGUAACCUGCCCAUCAGAGGGGGAUAACAUCCGGAAACGGAUGCUAAAACCGCAUAGGUCUUCGAACCGCAUGGUUUGAAGAGGAAAAGAGGCGCAAGUUUCUGCUGAUGGAUGGACCCGCGGUGCAUUAGCUAGUUGGUGAGGUAACGGCUCACCAAGGCCGUGAUGCAUAGCCGACCUGAGAGGGUGAUCGGCCACAUUGGGACUGAGACACGGCCCAGACUCCUACGGGAGGCAGCAGUAGGGAAUCUUCCGCAAUGGGCGAAAGUCUGACGGAGCAACGCCGCGUGAGUGAAGAAGGUUUUCGGAUCGUAAAACUCUGUUGUUAGAGAAGAACAAGUGCUAGAGUAACUGUUAGCGCCUUGACGGUAUCUAACCAGAAAGCCACGGCUAACUACGUG
rnacentral:rRNA from 1 species